CCCUGCCUGGCACCGUCGUCAAGCCUCUGCAGUCCCUGCUCCGGGCUGGACAGCACUGGGGCCCUCCUGCUGCAGGGGUAGAGUGGGGUGACAUCUCCCCACAAGGCUUCCUCUGGUUGCAGGGCUGGAAGGGGUCAGCUCUCUCUUCUUAUCAAAUGUCCACCCGCUAGCUGAGGGGAAAGGACGCCGAGUGAGAACGACCUGCUCUUAAGUAGCCGGGAGAGGAAGAGUUCCCGGCGCUGGGCUGCUAUGCUGACCUACUUCUCCUGAUGUGUGUGGACUCCCCAAGGACUGCUGAGGCGGGCGGGCCGCGCGUGUGUGGGCACAUGUGUGCACACGUGUGGCAGUGCGCCCACUUCGGGCUUCGGCCCCUGUCAGAUCAGCUUGGGCCGUUUUCCACAUCUCCUGGGAGCUGCACUGGCAGCCGCAAGUUGCUAGAAGCCCUUCUUCCCUCCCCACCUCCCUCCCCCAGGGACUGUCGGGUGCUUGGCUUAUCUCUGCUGCUUUGGCCUCAGAGUUGCCCUGGGCAGGCACCGGGCUUGGUGGGGGGCACACCUGCUCCCUCACCCCAGGCUCAGCCCAUGCUCUGACCACUGCCCAGCUCUGCCUCUCUACAGCUUGAACACGCCUCUCCAGUGCCCUCCGCCAUUCCUGCUGCCUGCCUUCGCUGCCCCCUGCCCCACACCCCACCUCCUUAUCUCAUUAUCCUCAGGUGCCACUCCUCCAGGAAGGCUUCCGUGCUGCCCCAGGUGCCAAUUUCUGUCUCUGAGGGGCCCCAGGGUUCAGACAGGGUCUGUAUGUCUCUCUCUCAGGGCCUCUGUUGAAUAUGGUGGUCUCAGCUGUGUGUCCCUCUCUGUCCCCAUCAACAGGCCAAGAGCGCCCUGGGGGCUGGUACUACAUCAAAUUCAACUCUUCCUUGUCCCUUCCCUUGGUUCCUAGGGUCCAGGUUGGGGGAUCCUGUAUAUUGCUCCCCCUCACUCCUUCAACCUCCCUCUCCCCUCAGGCCUGUUCUCUGCAAGGUGUCAGUAGGAGACAAGGAAUUAACCCGCACCCUGUCCCUGCGGCUGUGUCAUCCCCCCAGCUGGGUGACCUUGAGUAAGUCACAUCACCUCUCCGGGCCUCAGCUUCCACAUCCAUAAGAUGAAGAAAAUAGUAACAGUAAUAGCAGCGGCUAACACUUAAAUGUACUCACUACGUCGGGCCCUGUUUGGAGGAUGAACUCAUCUCACUUUCACAACUCCAUGAGUCAGAAUGUGUGAACAUCGCAUCCAUAUCCCUCAGUAUCUGAGUGGGGAAAUGGAGACCCAGAGAGGACAGAGCCUCAGCCAGGGAUGCGCAUGCCGUCACGGAGCUCCUGCAGAAAGCCGACUGGGUGCCAGGCACCGGUCCAGGUGUGCCACGUGUAUGAACUCAAUCCUCACAACAGUCCCCGAGGCAGGUGGACCAGCUCCUUUUUCAGGUGGGGACUUGAGCCCAGAGAGUGAAGUGAGACACAUCAGCCUCACUGGUGGUUGAAGGCAUAGACGGCUGGCAUCAGGGGGAACUUGACCUAAAAGUAUUUUACCUUCGUCUCUCUCACUGCCUCCACCUGGAGAAGCAGCCGAGGACCUGACGGCCGUGAACUUCCUAGCACCAGGCAGCAGAGGUCCUGGCCAACCUCCAUUCACCCGGUGUAGCUGGUGCUGCAUCCGUGCACACUCGAGCUGGCUGUGCUGCCCCAGGGGACCCCACGUGACCUGCACUCAAGUGUGUGCCCUCACUGGCCCCGAGGGAGGCCCUUGAUUCCCCAUCUGGGGUGCGGAAGGCAGGAGGGCGUCACCCCGUCUUCAUGGCAGUGGUUGUGGCCCUGACCACAAAGGCUCUGGCCCCAUGGGCUGGGUCUUCCGCCACAAGCUUGGAGGGCCACGGUAGUGGGGGGAGAGUUUCCCAAGCAAGAAGCAAGACCGAACCAUCUACCACUUCCUGUUGGCAGGUGGCUCAAGCUGGGUGCCACUUUCAUGAAAACAACACCCAAAGCGUAACCCAACUCAGGCCUACUUUGGGACCCCCUUCCCCAGCACAGGCACACACGCACACACACACACACACGCAGUGCCAGUCUGGCAAAAUUUCACUCACUGAGUCCUCGUAAGUACCCUGAGAAGGGGGCAAGAUGCCUCCCAUUUUAAAAAUCAGCUUAAUUGAGGUAUAACUUGCAUAUCACAAAACUCCCCCGUAGCAAGUGUAUAAUUCAAUGAUUUCAGUAAAUGCACAGAGCUGUGCAACCAUUGCCGUGAUCAAGUGAUGCUUUCUACUUUGUGGAUAAAGAGCAGAGGCCCAAGAAACCUCUGACUUACUAUGGUUAUGGCAAAGAUGACUUCUGCCCUAAGUCAUGCAAACCAUGACUUACUAUGGUUAUGGCAAAGAUAGCCAACUGCCCACCAAAGCUUUGUGUUCUCUCUUCUGUAAUACAGAGCUGUUUUGGAGGGUGGCUGUCAGCAGGGAACUGCAUUUCUCCUCUCCCCUGCUUCCAGGUGUGGUCACCUGGGGUGGCCACCUGAGACUGGUUUUCCCCAGUGGCAUGGGAACAGAAGUGAGGUGUCACUUCUAGGCUGGAGCUUUUAAGAGUGGCUAAAGUUUCUUCCUCUUCUUCUGUGGCUUGAUGCAGAGGACUCCAGGGCUCUAGAAGAUGGUGGUGGAGCUACAGGAUAGGAGGAGCCUGGGUCCCCCGGGUGUGCGAGGCCUCCUGCCGAUGAGGACUACCUGCUCUGUAUUUUGUGAGCCAGAAGUAGACUUGUUAGGCUGCUGAGAUAUAUGGGGCUUAUUUGUUACAGCAGCUAAUACUGCCCUAAUUCAAGAGUUAUGUAGCAAGUAAACA